GCCAGGCGCAGUAGUGCGUGCCUAUAGUCCCAGCUACUCGGGAGGCUGAGGUGGGAGAAUCAAUUGAGUCCAGGAGUUCUGGGCUAUAGUAUACUAUGUUGAUCGGGUGUCCGCACUAAGUUCAGCAUCAAUAUGGUGACCUCCUGGGAGUGGGGGACCACCAGGUUGCCUAAGGAGGGGUGAACCUGCCCAGGUCGGAAACAGAGCAGGUCAAAACUCCCGUGCUGAUCAGUAGUGGGAUCACGCCUGUGAAUAGCCAUUGCACUCCAGCCUGGGCAACAUGGCGAGACACAGUCUCU
rnacentral:SRP_RNA from 1 species